rnacentral:tmRNA from 1 species
GGGGGCGUAAAGGUUUCGACGGGGAUUGUGAGGCACAGUAAGCGAGUAGCGGUGCGGACCCGCUAUAAAAGCCGUAACUUUAAAAAAUAAACGACAACAAUACUGUUGCUGUUGCAGCCUAAUUAGGCUGCCGUCCUUACCUGGAGUACCGCGACCGGGAUAAGGGCGUCGAUUAGCGGUGAACGUGAACGGAAGAAAGCCGCGGCUCCCGUCAUGACCUAGCGGCUACCGCAGCCGGAAGCCUGCCCUUUGGCGUCCGGUGAGGGGAAUCCUAAACAAUGGGCUGCACUCGGAGAAAGCUGUGUCAAGUGAUUUUCGGACAGGGGUUCGACUCCCCUCGCCUCCACCA